rnacentral:rRNA from 1 species
CCUACGGGGGGCAGCAGUGAGGAAUAUUGGUCAAUGGACGCAAGUCUGAACCAGCCAAGCCGCGUGCAGGAUGACGGCCCUAUGAGUUGUAAACUUCUUUUGUACGGGAGUAAGAACCGUUACGUGUAGCGGGUUGACUGUACCGUACGAAUAAGGAUCGGCUAACUCCGUGCCAGCAGCCGCGGUAAUACGGAGGAUGCGAGCGUUAUCCGGAUUUAUUGGGUUUAAAGGGUGCGUCGGCGGUUUGUUAAGUUAGUGGGGAAAUGUCGGGGGUCAACCCGGAAACUGCCUUUAAUACUGUUAGACUAGAGAAGAGUCGAGGUAGGCGGAAUGUGUGGUGUAGCGGUGAAAUGCUUAGAGAUCAGUAAGAACACCGAUGGCGAAGGCAGCUUACCAGACUAUAACUGACGCUGAGGCACGAAAGCGUGGGUAGCAAACAGGAUUAGAUACCCUGGUAGUC